CCAAAAUUUCUUACAUAUUCAUCUUUGGGAGAAAGAUCAAGGCAUAUAGUGGGCUACUUCUGCAAAAGGAGGGAAGCAACAUAUUGCAUUUAAAGUGAAGCUUCCUCUAUGAUAUGGAGAUGCAAUCAUCCAUCUAAAGACAAGAUUGCCAAGAUAAAUCGAUGAUGCAUGGCUCAGAAGUUGAUUACAAGAUCGAGAAGGUGGCUACUACUAGAUAGUUUCAGAUUAUGUUUUGGAAUGUAAUUUUUAGGGUCAAUGUUUCAAACACUAUGUGUUUAGAUGGCUGAGUCGUUCAGUGCAAGGUUGAGA